rnacentral:rRNA from 1 species
GACGAACGCUGGCGGCGUGCCUAAUACAUGCAAGUUGAGCGCUGAAGGCUGGCUCUUGUACCAACUGGAUGAGCCGCGCACGGGUGAGUAACGCGUGGGGCAUCUGCCUUUGAGCGGGGGAACACAUUUGGAAACGAAUGCUAAUACCGCAUAAACACUUUAUACACAAGUUUUAAGUUUGAAAGACGCAAUUGCAUCACUCAAAGAUGACCCCGCGGUGUAUUAGGUAGUUGGUGAGGUACAGGCGCAACAAGGCGAGGAUACAUAGCCGAACUGAGAGGGUGGGCAGCCGCAUUGAGACUGAGACACGGCCCAAAGGCCCACAGGAAGCAGCAAGAGGGAAACGUCAGCCAUGGGCGAAAGUCUUACCGAGAAACGCGGCAGGAUGAAAGAAGGUUGUCGGGUCGUAAAACACGGUUGGUAGGGAAGAACGCUGGUGAGAGUGGAAAGCUCAGCAAGUGACGGUAACUACCCAGAAAGCAACGGCUAACUACGUG